UUACUACUGAUGUGAACAGAUUCUGACCUUUGGCUGCCUAGUUGUUUUUGAUAAAUUAACUCUUAGAAUAAUGAUAAAUGUCUUGGCCGUUCCUCAAAAACCUUUGGCUGUUUGCAGCAGAUGAUGGAUGUCUAGAAAACACCCCUGACACCGCAGAGUUCAGUCGAGAGUUCCAGUUGCACCAGCAUCUGUUUGAUCCGGAACAUGACUAUCCAGGCUUGGGCAAGUGGAACAAGAAACUCCUUUACGAGAAGAUGAAGGGAGGAGAGAGACGAAAGCGGAGGAGUGUCAAUCCAUAUCUACAAGGACAGAGACUGGAUAACGUUGUUGCAAAGAAGUCUGUCCCCCAUUUUUCAGAUGAGGAUAAGGAUCCAGAGUAAAGAGAAGAUGCUAGACGAAAACCCACAUUACCUGUUAGGCCUCAGCAUGGCUUAUGUGCACGUGUUAAUGGAGCCCCUGUGAAUGACAGCAUGUUUCUUACACAGAUAAUUAUGGAUACAAAGCAGCUGUAUGUAGAUAGUGUAUUGUCUUCACACCAAUGAUUCUGCUUUCUGCUAAAUUAGAAUAAGAGCUUUUUUGUUUUUUGGGUUUUUAAAAUGUGAAUCUGCAAUGAUCAUAAAAAUUAAAAUGUGAAUGUCAACAAUAAAAAGCAAGACUAUGAAAGGCUCAGAUUUCUUGCAGUUUAAAAUGGUGGCUGAGGUUGUACUAUUUUGGCCAAGUCUGUAAAAAGUUGGCAUUUGAUUUUGAUUAUGUAGUUCAUCCAGCCCUUGGGCAUUGUUAUACACCAGUAAAGAAGGCUGUACUCAAGAGGAGGAGCUGACACAUUUCACUUGACUGUGUCUUAAUAAACAUGAAUGCAAGCAUUGG
rnacentral:sRNA from 1 species